rnacentral:lncRNA from 1 species
CCAACUACGCCUCCACUUUCUUCCAAGCUCGGUAACCGCAUUGCCGCCUUCUCUUCGCGCGCGGUUGGUGUGUUCUUCCUUCAUUAUUGCCCGAUAUCUCUGAAGACGUGCAAUUUUUCGAAACGAUGUAACAAAAUUUGCACUACUGAAAAAAGUGUUAAGGAAAAAAAAAGAUGAUGUCACACUUCAGUUCCCUGGAGGACUACGGAGAAAACUUCAAAACUUCCAACCCAGCAUAAACCAAUUACCAAUACCCCGAACAAUUUACAGUUUCUCGAAUUCUUGUAGUGCAUAGAGCACAGGUGCGUCCAACCCAACUGGCAGCAGGUUGAUUUCUCGACUGUAGCUGGUCACCAGUUCACUACACGGCAUGUGUACUCUUUUGUCAGUUUUCUUUUCAUCGUCGCGUGAAGCAGGAGUAAAAGAUGGAUGGGAAUAUUACUGCUCAAGCCAGCUUUGGUUACCGAGUUACCCCGAUUAUGUCAGUACUCAGUAGUAAGCGCUCCAGUAAAGACUUACUCCUCCGUUAAUUCAAAAUACAAGUAUAUCUAGAAUUCAAAUUUAUACCAAAAUAUAAUCAUUUCUGCAGCGAACUGAGUGUCUCGCUUAGCGUCGGCACGGCACUAUCACUCACGGUUGAACGCCAACGAGAGAACAUGCAAGCAAGCACCGAAACGGCAAAGAAGCGUUCUUUCCCCUUGCAACAGAAUCUGCCUUCCCAGUUCCGAUUCACCAAAAAUAGUACUAGCUCCUAGUUAGCAAAUUAAGCAGCAAGAAGAGCAGAGUACCGCCACACUAAUCACACACACUAACCAGCUUCCAUUACAGGAGGCUCUAAAGUUAAAAAGAAAAGAAGUGGAGUACUGAAACAGACAUACACACACUCCACCUGCCAUGCACGGUUAAACGACGUCCGCGGCGGCGCGGCCGUCGUCGAAGUUGAGGGCGUAGCUGAGCGCGUCGUAGUGGAAGCUGAAACGGUGGUCCCGCCUGCCGCCGCGCCACCUCCCGCGCUCCGACUGCAUCCGCCUGAUCGCCGCGCGCAGCCGCCAGUAGAGGCCCCGAAGCAGCCUGCUGCUCCCCCGCCCGCGCGCCACCGCGACCACCCCUGCCUCCACCGCCGCCACCACGGCCGCCAUUGAUUAUUUUAUUACUACUCCGCUUCCCCGCUGCUCCCGGCUCGCUGGCUCGCUCGCCCGCGGAGGGGGGGAAGAGGCUCGACCGGCUGCCUCUACCAGAGAGGCAUGCGGACUAGGGAUCGAGUCCUCGUCGAUCUUACCUUGCUGGCCUCUCCGCUCGCCGUGGCGGCAGUGUGAAGUGGUAGGUUUGGGCUUGGGCAGGCAGGCAGAGUGAGCAGAGGAUAUGGGGCAGAAGAUAUGGUGGUGGUGGGGGCGGGCAU